rnacentral:tRNA from 1 species
GGCCCUGUAGCUCAAUUGGCAGAGCAACUGACUCUUAAUCAGCAGGUUGAAGGUUCGAGUCCUUCCAGGGUCA